CAGAAUAUCCAUCCUGUUACAUAAUAAAAUCUUACAGACAACAAUAUGUGUCCUACCAAAGUAUAGACUUUGAAUUGAUGGAUCAAAAUCAAGCAUACAAAUUGAUCUAGUCUCUGAUUUGCUUCAACUGAUUUGACAACCUACAAUAAGCAUUUAUCAAUUGAUCAUGUCAUCCUGCUGAUUCUGCU